UCUUCGGAUUGUAAAGCACUUUAAGUUGGGAGGAAGGGCAGUAAGUUAAUACCUUGCUGUUUUGACGUAUACCAACAGAAUUAAGCACCGGCUAACUUCGUGCCAGCAGCCGCGGUAAUACGAAGGGUGCAAGCGUUAAUCGGAAUUACUGGGCGUAAAGCGCGCGUAGGUGGUUUGGUAAGAUUGGAUGUGAAAUCCCCGGGGCCCGGCGGGGAAAAUUUUCCCG
rnacentral:rRNA from 1 species